rnacentral:rRNA from 1 species
UGGGGGAUAUUGCACAAUGGGCGAAAGCCUGAUGCAGCGACGCCGCGUGGGGGAUGAAGGCUUUCGGGUUGUAAACCUCUUUCGCUAUCGAACAAGGCCCGCUUAGGGUGGGUUGAGGGUAGGUGGAGAAGAAGCGCCGGCUAACUACGUGCCAGCAGCCGCGGUAAUACGUAGGGCGCGAGCGUUGUCCGGAAUUAUUGGGCGUAAAGGGCUUGUAGGCGGCUUGUUGCGCCUGCUGUGAAAACGGGGGGCUUAACUUCGCGCGUGCAGUGGGUUCGGGCCGGCUUGAGUGUGGUAGGGGUGACUGGAAUUCCAGGUGUAGCGGUGGAAUGCGCAGAUAUCUGGAGGAACACCGAUGGCGAAGGCAGGUCACUGGGCCAUUACUGACGCUGAGGAGCGAAAGCAUGGGUAGCGAACAGG